rnacentral:sRNA from 1 species
UGUUUUUGGUGAAAGUAGUUUUGGUCAAAGUGAUUUUUCUGUACGUGUGAGAACUCAAUUCUGAGUUAACAGAGGGGGUAGCGAGUGAGUAUAGCUAUUAUCAUUGGCACACAU